GGCAAAGUGGCCGAGUGGUUAAGGCGCUGUGUUUAGGAAACUUCUCCGUUCCGCAGUGGGAAACCUCGCGAGUUCGAAUCUCGUCUUUGUCA